UACGGAGGGUGCAAGCGUUAUCCGGAAUCAUUGGGUUUAAAGGGUCCGCAGGCGGGACUGUAAGUCAGUGGUGAAAUCCGGCAGCUCAACUGUCGCACUGCCAUUGAUACUGCAGUCCUUGAAUUCGAUUGGAGUGGGCGGAAUAUGUCAUGUAGCGGUGAAAUGCUUAGAUAUGACAUAGAACACCGAUAGCGAAGGCAGCUCACUAAGUCUGAAUUGACGCUCAUGGACGAAAGCGCGGGUAGCAAAC
rnacentral:rRNA from 1 species